AGCGAACGCUGGCGGCAGGCUUAACACAUGCAAGUCGAGCGGGCGUAGCAAUACGUCAGCGGCAGACGGGUGAGUAACGCGUGGGAACAUACCUUUUGGUUCGGAACAACACAGGGAAACUUGUGCUAAUACCGGAUAAGCCCUUACGGGGAAAGAUUUAUCGCCGAAAGAUUGGCCCGCGUCUGAUUAGCUAGUUGGUGAGGUAACGGCUCACCAAGGCGACGAUCAGUAGCUGGUCGAGAGGAUGAUCAGCCACAUUGGGACUGAGACACGGCCCAAACUCCUACGGGAGGCAGCAGUGGGGAAUAUUGGACAAUGGGCGCAAGCCUGAUCCAGCCAUGCCGCGUGAGUGAUGAAAGGCCCUAGGGUUGUAAACCGCUUUUGGUCGGGAAGAAAAGGCAACUACCUAAUACGGGUUGUUCUUGACGGUACCGGCAGAAUAAGCACCGGCUAACUACGUGCCAGCCGCCGCGGUAAG
rnacentral:rRNA from 1 species